UCCCACGACAGAUCCCACAACGUGAGCAAGUGGAGUGACGGCAACAUGCGGCCGAUGGCGCGACCCAGUCCUUGCCCCGAUCCCGGACGCAGCUGCUGCACUCUGCCCGUCUCCCAGCUCACCUGUGGCUCUUGCUCUUGACUCCGCCCGGUCUCGCACGCAACAGGCACAGGCACACUCACUUCCCGCCGCCACGGGAAGUCAUCGUCGCAGGGAUGACGAUCACCCCUUCGCCCUCGGCCGCCGUCAUUCGGGGAGUGCAGACAAGGGUGGACCCACCCAGCCGGCCGUCCCGAUCCUCUCCGCCGCCGCUUCUGAGCGCACACCUGCCACGAGCUCCCAGCUCCCAAGAGGGGCAAGGUCCUGGUGCGUCCGUCGUGCCUCCGUCGCCCCACGCAGAUGCCCGAGACGAGGAACGGACGAGCCGCGAGUAGGGAAGAGGACAUCCGACACGAGACGCCGCCGCCGCCACAGAGCAGGGCUAUAGCGCUCCCCCGAGCUCUUUCGAUCCUUCGCCCGCCGCAGGAGCAGCGUUUCCACCACGAGGCGUCUUGGCCCGCGGGCGAGCGGAGCGGAGUCGACACGGCCUCCCGCCGCCUGCAUCUGGUCAAACCAGAGGCGGAGCGGCGAGGUGCCUGCUCGCUUCCCCCGCUCUCCCUGCUUCGGGUCCCCUCUCGGAACUGGCGACGCGACCCAGCGUCGAGGUCGCCACUGCACACUCGGUAGCCCGCACCCCCGGUUUUGAAGCGGUGAAGGACGAUCCUAACCCUAAGUUCAUCAUCCCCGGAUUCGGUCCCGACACGGCGGCGCGGUAGCCCUUUGCUUCAAAAGGGCCCGCACCGCGUUCGGCCGCAGAUGCUUGCCUGCCCUCGACGCUCCCCCCGACGUAGCGAUUGCUCGCGCGUCGCGGGGUCGAGCCAAGGGGUGGUACGAGCAUCUUGGGAAGCGUGCCCCUCCAGCAUGCGACGGCCGGCGUGCUAGCUCGCAGGGAGGCGGGAUCGCCUGCCGGCCCCAGCGGCCAGGCAAAUGGUCAUCCUCGGCGCCUGUCCUCUGCGUUCCACCUCCGAUCCCUUGAGAAAGGGAGGUGUGGACCGGAGCGAUGGGCGCGACACGCAUCCAAUCCGACGGCAUCGCCCUUGAACCCUCGCCCAGCAGGUUGGGAGAGGCCCUUUUCAAGCGUCACUGCGCCUUGCCAGCCCCCCCCCAAUGCCAUCUCCGCUCUGUCCCUCGCGACGGCGGAGAGUGCGCGCGGUACCAUCUCGAUGGGCACCGUGCGCAGAAAAGGUGGUUUUUUCCCCGUCCCCUUCUUUUCCACCUUGCCGUGUCCCUGCUGCCUUGCUCCUCGUCCAUCUCCUUGAAGGCGGUCGGGGUAGCUCGCGGGCACGGGACGGCGGCGAUCAACAAAAAAGGGGGGAUGAGCGCGGCCCUCUGACUCCGUCUGGCGUGCGGCAUCUCGUGUUCGACAUCCGACCACCCGACGGCGACUCGUCCCACAGCCUUCCUCGUCUUUCUCUCGGGCAACUGCAAAGGGUAAGGGGCACGGAGGACCAGGUACGGACGGCACCAGGACCGGAGGCGAAUGGCCCAGCCAAGGUUGUCGAAGCGGCGGUGGGGUCUUGGCUUCGGUUUCAGAUCGUCGGCUGGGACCGCGGGAUCUUCGCACCUGGAGGCACAAUCCCCGAAUGGCCACAGGCGGACGGUAGGUGAAGAGGUCAUCUGACCUCGAUGAUGCGGGCCCUCUCGUCGAGGCCGCCUUGUCUCUUUCUGCUCUUCUCUCACCUCCCUCCCGCUCAGCUUCCCCCCUUCGUCCUCGUCAUCGCCACCAAGGACCCCGGCUGCCAUCGCAUUGUCGUCGCGACACGUCGACCACCGUCCAUCACCAUCGGUCUCGCUGCCAGACGGGCGGUGGGGCUCGAGGAGCAAGGCCGAGGUCGCGACCGGACAGCGCUGCAUCGAGGCGGUCGAAGGCGUUGCGGAGAGGAGUGUGUCUGGAGGAAGCCGGGCAAGGCGCGCCGAGAGGUUGCGGGCGAUCGACACGCACACCGGUCUCUUCGGAGCACGCAGAGGAUGGGGCCGGGAAGCGCGCGACGGCGAAGGAGGGACCAGCUUCCCCACCGCCGUCGCCGCGACCUGCUCCGCCUCUCACCGGUGUAGAGUUUCGGCUCGAUUUGCGCACACCCUCGACCCCGCAAACCCUAUUGGCCCUUUGCCCUCCUUCUUCGGCGCCCUCCUCGCCGCCUCGCCCCCGACCAUCUCGAUGCGGCCAUCGUUUCGGAUCCCUGCGGCCUGAGCCCUCGUCCUCCUGGAUCCUACGUCCAUCUGGCGGCGAGGCUGAUCGGGCGGCGGUCGGCGAAAGGGUCGCGGCGGCGAGGCGAUGGUGGUACUCGGGAGGACGAGGCGCAGGGGACGGACGGCGGACGCGAGGGACGGCGGAAGAAGAGGCCGAAGAGCCCAAUUUUUCUUGAUCCCCAUCCCA
rnacentral:telomerase_RNA from 1 species